CAGUCGGCCCUAAGGGAUCGGAGAAAUCCGUUCUGAAGCGGGACGUUAAUAUCAUUGUGAAACACUGUGACUUGUGUUUGUCCCGCUGCCGACCGAAAGGGAAUGGGGUCAAUAUUCCCCAACCCGGACACGGAGAUAGUGCCCUCGGGCACAAGUGCGGCAACGCAACCGAACUCGGAGACGUCGGCGGAGGACCCGGAGAAGAGUUGUCUUUUCUUUGUAAGAGUUCGUGUCCCUGGAAUCGGCUCAUCCGGAGAUAGGGACGCUGUUCUCGUAAAAGCACCGCGGCUCUUGCGGUGUCCGGUGCGCCUCUGCCGGCCCUUGCAAAUCCGAGGGAGAGAGUGUGAUUUUCGUGCCGGUCCGUACCCAUAUCCGCAGCAGGUCU
rnacentral:rRNA from 1 species